UACAGAGGUCUCAAGCGUUGUUCGGAUUCAUUGGGCGUAAAGGGUGCGUAGGCGGCGCGGUAAGUCGGGUGUGAAAUCUCGGAGCUUAACUCCGAAACUGCAUUCGAUACUGCAGUGCUAGAGUGUGGAAGGGGCAAUCGGAAUUCUUGGUGUAGCGGUGAAAUGCGUAGAUAUCAAGAGGAACACCUGAGGUGAAGACGGGUUGCUGGGCCAACACUGACGCUGACGCGCGAAAGCCAGGGAGCAAACGGG
rnacentral:rRNA from 1 species